rnacentral:rRNA from 1 species
AGCGAACGCUGGCGGCAGGCCUAACACAUGCAAGUCGAACGGACCCUUCGGGGUUAGUGGCGGACGGGUGAGUAACACGUGGGAACGUGCCUUUAGGUUCGGAAUAGCUCCUGGAAACGGGUGGUAAUGCCGAAUGUGCCCUUCGGGGGAAAGAUUUAUCGCCUUUAGAGCGGCCCGCGUCUGAUUAGCUAGUUGGUGAGGUAAUGGCUCACCAAGGCGACGAUCAGUAGCUGGUCUGAGAGGAUGACCAGCCACACUGGGACUGAGACACGGCCCAGACUCCUACGGGAGGCAGCAGUGGGGAAUCUUGCGCAAUGGGCGAAAGACUGACGCAGCCAUGCCGCGUGAAUGAUGAAGGUCUUAGGAUUGUAAAAUUCUUUCACCGGGGACGAGAAUGACGGUACCCGGAGAAGAAGCCCCGGCUAACUUCGUGCCAGCAGCCGCCGUAA